GUCUCUGUGGCGCAAUUGGUUUGCGUGUUCGGAUGUUAACCGAGAGGUUGGUGGUUCAAGCCCACCCAGGGACG